CAGUAGACUGCGGUUUCUCGUCGGAUUGUAUUUUAUGUAGCUAACGUACGCGGGCUGUUAAACUUAGCUCGGCGCUGUCUGGCGUUAGCAGUUGUUUGUUUAGUAAUACUUGUCUUUCGUGAUGCCUGCUGAAAACCUAAGAUGGGAAACUUUACAGGCCCUAAAAAAUUCACCAAAGGGAAACAUAACAUUCGACCCGUUUUGGUCGGAAAGGGGCGAGCAUAUUUUGGCAGGUUGCAAAGAGGCUGUCAGCUUGUCUCCACACUCUGGGCUCAUACUGGAACGACUCAGGUCUUCACCCCUGCAGAAGUCCUGCUUUCUGGGCUCCAGCUCUGGAAACUCCAGCCCUGGCUUGUUUGAUGACAACCAAGCUUCUCUUUCCUCUAGAGAAUCCUUCCCUGAUGUGGACACAAAACACAAAGUGCUCUCCACAGCACCAGAGAGUGGUCAGGUUGUUGGCAAUGCUACAAAAGAUGAAGAUCCAGAGACCGACAUCAGUGACGUUUCCAGUCCUGCAUCACUACCUGCCAUCUCUUUGCUCUCGCCCAAAGCUAUGGAGACAGCUGGGCGUAUCAUCAGGUUUGAAGAGGAACAAAGAGCAAAGGCCAAGAUGGCACUAAAACUGCGACAAGAAAUGCAGGAGAAGCUGAUGGUUGCAGUGGCCGACUCAGAGUCAGAACAGCUCAAGCGUUUUGAGGAAUUCAUGGAACUGAAGCAGCGGCAGGAGUACCAAAGUAUGAGGGACAUGAUGGACAGAGAAACUAAAGAAAGCAUUGGGCGUCAGGAGAAGCUAAAGGAAGAGCAGCGACACAGAAUGAAGAUCAUCAACCUGCGGCUGAGGGAGGCAGAGCAGCAGCGAGUAAGGGAGGCAGAGCUCGAGCGGCAGCGGCAGGCGGAGGGCAGGGAGAGGAUACGUAACCUCAACACCGUACAGGAGGAGAUCCUGCAGCUGAACCAGCUGAUGGAGCCCUCCACCAAAACGGACCUCCCAGCAACCAGUCUCAACUCCUACAGCACUCGUGGGAACCAGCUGUGCUCUCAGGUGUCAGAGGUGGUUCGCAAGACAUCAGAGGGAGCGUUUCCGAGUGUGGAGGACAUGACAGCAGCAGAGCGAGCCCUCCACGAAAUGAGGGCGCUGAUCCGGCUGAUGCAGGAUGAGGUGGCCAAGGCUCAGGAGAAGAAGAAGAAGGACCAGGAGGAGGAAGAGGCACGCAGGAAGCAGGCAGAGCUGCAAGCGCAGCAGGAAGCCCAGCAGAAGGCGGCGCAGUCGGCCAAGGAGAGGGCACAGAAGAAAGGUCUGCAGAACAGUGCUGAAGACAGCACAUUGAAAUGGUACAAGGAGCUGCAGGAUUCAGCUGCUCAGUGCACUCAGUCAUUUGAGCAACUCAACUCCCCGAAAGACGUUCAGACAAAGAAGGUGAAGCUGGAGCUACAGAAGGCUGCCACCAUCCCUGUCAGUCAAAUCUCCAGCAACUCUGGAUCGCAGCUCAGAGAGAUCUUUGACAAGAUCGACAAGCUACUCUCUGGUCAACCCAUGGUGUCGGGCGGGAGGUCUGUGUCCACCUUGCAGCAUCCUCAGGGCCUGGACUUCGUGGCCUAUAAACUGGCUGAGAAGUUUGUGAAACAAGGAGAGGAGGAGGUGGCGUCUCAUCAUGAAGCAGCCUUUCCCAUUGCUGCAGUGGCCUCUGGUGUCUGGGAGCGGCACCCUCGGGUGGGAGACCUUAUCCUUGCCCACCUGCACAAGAAGUGCCCCUACGCAGUCCCACAUUACCCCCCGAUGAAGGAUGGCACACCUGUGGAGGAGUAUCAGAGGAUCCUCGGCUAUCGUGUGGAUGACUCCGGAGUCGAAGGUCAGGACAGUUUCCUGAAGAGGAUGUCGGGGAUGAUCCGUCUGUACGCUGCGAUCAUCCAGCUGAGGUGGCCCUUCAGCUCCAAACAGGGGUCAGUUCCUCACGGUCUGCACCACGGCUGGCGCUGGUUGGCUCAGAUGCUCAACAUGGAGCCGCUGGCCGACAUCACAGCUACAUUGCUGUUUGACUUUCUGGAGGUUUGUGGAAACGCUUUGAUGAAGCAAUAUCAGGGACAGUUCUGGAAACUCAUCCUGCUGCUGAAAGAGGAGUACUUCCCCAGGAUCGAAGCGGUGACCAGCAGCGGACAGAUGGGCUCCGUCAUCAGGCUCAGGCAGUUUCUGGAGACGUCAUUGCAGAGCCGACAGAUCUCUCCACCCAAAGGCCAGCUAAGUUCCACAUUCUGGAGGUCGUGAUGGAGGAGCGGCCAGGAUGGGUGUCACUGUCCGCUCUGAUGCUGGGCAAUGUCCUGUGUGUCUGAAUGGAGGCAGCUGGGAAGCUCUAUGCAGACUGAACUCAAGAAGUGGACUGAUGAUGAUGAUCAUUAUGAUGCACCACAUUACAGCUACACCCUUAGUUUAUGACAGGGGCUGUGGAACAAGUUGAGUAUAGAAAUAAAUUUAUUUAAAGGGUGAGGGGAGCAGCUCCCCACACCUCCAUCCUCCCAGCUUCCUUUAGACCCCAGAGACUUGAUUGUCAGGUGCCACAAAGAGGCAGAUUCUGAAAAAAGGAAAUAAGGUUGACUUCUUUAUCUACUGCACCUCUGUGGCCCCACAGACGCUAAGAUCACUACCAAACAAUGUGACAGAACACUGGUCAUCCUUUAGUUGGGUUCUGUCCCUGAUCCCACGUCUCAGUGGACCCGGAGCUUCCUGACUGACAGGAGGCAGCAGGUGAGGCUGGGCAGCGUCACAUCAUCACCACCGGCACCGCAGGGGUGCGUCCUCUCCCCACUGCUCUUCUCCCUGUACACUAAUGACUGCACCUCAGGGAACCCGUCUAUGCAGACGACAUGACCGUCGUUGGGCUCCAGGACGGUGAUGAGUCUGCAUAGAAACAGGAGGUGGAGCAGCUGGUCCAGUGGUGCAGUCAGAACCAGCUGGAGCUCAACACGCUCAAGACUGUGAGGAUGACGGUGAAGAAGCGCCUGCCCCCCUCACCAUCCACAACAACAGUGUCCACCGUGGACUCAUUCAGGUUCCUCGGGUCCACGAGCUCCCAGAACCUGAAGUGCACCUCCAUCACUGUGUGGUUUGGUUCAGCCACCAAACAGGACAGACACAGACUGCAGAGGGGGGUCCGGUCAGCAGAGAAGAUCAUCAGGACCGAGCUUCCUUCCAACCAACACCUGUACCGGGCCAGACUCAGGAACCCGGCAGCAAACCUCACCGCUGACCCCACACACAAACUGUUCAAGCUCCUCCCUCUGGCAGAGCUAUGGCCACCAGAACCACCAGAACCACCAGACAGAGCUGAACUCUCCACUCACAUGGAGCAAGGACUCACUGCAGUGACUGUAUGAGAUAUAGUGUGCUGUAAAUAAUUGUAAUAAAUAUGUAAAUAUUUAAUGUUUAAUACCACCAGAGUACAGAGUCAGACCCUGUUCAAUUCCUUGUUUGUCCUGUGCAAACUUGGCUAAUAAAGCUCCUUCUGAUUCAGUA